AGGCCAGUAGCUCUAACGGCUAGAGCACCUCGCUCCAAACGAGGGUGUUGGGGGUUCGAAUCCCUCCUGGCCUGCCA
rnacentral:tRNA from 1 species